GUGGGGACUCAUAGGAGACUGCCGGGGUCAACUCGGAGGAAGGUGGGGAUGACGUCAAGUCAUCAUGCCCCUUAUGUCCAGGGCUUCACGCAUGCUACAAUGGCCGGUACAAAGGGCUGCGAUACCGCAAGGUGGAGCGAAUCCCAAAAAGCCGGUCUCAGUUCGGAUUGGGGUCUGCAACUCGACCCCAUGAAGUUGGAGUCGCUAGUAAUCGCAGAUCAGCAACGCUGCGGUGAAUACGUUCCCGGGCCUUGUACACACCGCCCGUCACACCAUGGGAGUUGGCUUUACCCGAAGGCGG
rnacentral:rRNA from 15 species